rnacentral:miRNA from 1 species
UUCCCAGCUCCGACGGGAUGG